CAAGAAAUAGUUUAUAAAAAAUAGUAAUUUUGGGGAUUACAGAGGGUUUCCUUUUUUGA
rnacentral:tRNA from 1 species